rnacentral:rRNA from 1 species
UACGUAGGGGGCAAGCGUUGUCCGGAUUUACUGGGCGUAAAGAGCGUGUAGGCGGCCAAGCAGGUCCGUUGUGAAAACUGGAGGCUUAACCUCCAGACGUCGACGGAAACCGCGUGGCUAGAGUCCGGAAGAGGAGAGUGGAAUUCCUGGUGUAGCGGUGAAAUGCGCAGAUAUCAGGAAGAACACCAACGGCGAAGGCAGCUCUCUGGGACGGUACUGACGCUGAGACGCGAAAGCGUGGGGAGCGAACAGG